CCAGUCAAUAUAAAGAUACACCUAGAACUAAUUGCAAAAGAAUUUUUAUCAACACCUCACGAAAGAACUUAAUCUUAAGUGCUUACCAUAAAAAGUCCCGAAUUUUUGCAUUUGCAAUUAAAAAGAUAAAAGCGGUUUUAUGUAGCGAUUUUUUCCAUUUUAAAACUUGCUCCAACUACGCUACCAUACCAGUAGAUUUCACGCGCAUUGUUUGUGACGUCACGGAAAAUAAGUAUGGCGGCGCCCAUAUUGAAUCUAAAACGGCUGUCAACAACCUUCGUUUUGGAACUUCUGAACCGUUUGGGGGUAAAGUACAAGGUUUUUACUUAAAAUCUAGGUGGACACCAAGUUCCUGAGUCAAUCAAUGACAACGAAUCUUCUGUCCGUAUUCGAGUUGGAGAAAAGGGAUACUAAGGGAUAUGUGCUGCUU